UACGGAGGGUGCGAGCGUUGUCCGGAAUCACUGGGCGUAAAGGGCGCGUAGGCGGCAUGCCAAGCGUGUGGUGAAAGCCCGGGGCUCAACCCCGGGUCGGCCGUGCGGACUGGCGUGCUCGAGCACUGUAGGGGCGGGUGGAAUUCCGUGUGUAGCGGUGAAAUGCGUAGAUAUACGGAGGAACACCAGAGGCGAAGGCGGAUCGCUGGGCCAACACUGACGCUGAGACGCGAAAGCUAGGGUAGCAAACGGG
rnacentral:rRNA from 1 species